AACGAACGCUGGCGGCAUGCCUAACACAUGCAAGUCGAACGAGACCUUCGGGUCUAGUGGCGCACGUGUGCGUAACGCGUGGGAACCUGCCCUUAGGUUCGGAAUAACUCCCCGAAAGGGGUGCUAAUACCGGAUAAUGUCUUCGGACCAAAGAUUUUUCGCCUUUGGAUGGGCCCGCGUUGGAUUAGCUAGUUGGUAGGGUAAAAGCCUACCAAGGCGACGAUCCGUAGCUGGUCUGAGAGGAUGAUCAGCCACACUGGGACUGAGACAAGGCCCAGACUCCUACGGGAGGCAGCAGUGGGGAAUAUUGGACAAUGGGCGAAAGCCUGAUACAGCAAUGCCGCGUGAGUGAUGAAGGGGUUAGGGUUGUAAAGCUCUUUUACCCGGGAUGAUAAGGACAGUACCGGGAGAAUAAGCUCCGGCUAACUCCGU
rnacentral:rRNA from 1 species